UUAUCUCUGUAGAGUCUGCAUAUCAAUAAGCGGAGGAAAAGAAACUAACUAGGAUUCCCUCAGUAACGGCGAGUGAAGCGGGAAGAGCUCAAAUUUGAAAUCUUCAAGGUUCUACCUUGACGAAUUGUAGUUUAAAGAAGUGUUUUCUGUUGGUAGUUUUGGUAAAAGUUCUUUGGAAUAGGACAUCAUAGAGGGUGAGAAUCCCGUAUAUGACUUAUUAUUUUGUAAGCUUUGUGAUACACUUUCAAAGAGUCGGAUUGUUUGGGAAUGCAGUCCCAAAAUGGGUGGUAAAUUUCAUCUAAAGCUAAAUAUUGGCGAGAGACCGAUAGCGAACAAGUACCGUGAGGGAAAGAUGAAAAGAACUUUGAAAAGAGAGUUAAACAGUACGUGAAAUUGUCAAAAGGGAAGCGUUUGACACCAGUGUUGUUUUCUCGAAAAUCAAUUAAAAAAGGCAGGAUUUUGUGUUGUAUUGACUUUAUCAGCUUUCUGCACUCUUUUCUUGUCUUUUUUAAUGCACUUUUCGUUUAACAAGUCAACAUCAAUUUCUUUUGUUGUAAAAGGGUCAUUGGAAGGUGGCUUUCUUUUCGGAGAAAGUGUUUAUAGCCUUUGGCCUCUGCAAUCGGAGAGAUUGAGGUCUGCAGCGUAGAUCCUUCGGGGUUAGAUACAUUUGUGCUAAGUUAUAGCCUUUCAUAGACAACUUGUUGACUAUGAUCAGUCAUGUAGCUUACUCGCUUAUGCUAUUUUACCUACGCUUAGGAUGUUGACGAUCAGCUGAGCGCG
rnacentral:rRNA from 1 species